ACUGGUUGAUCUGCCACACUGUAUCAGUACUACCAUGCAUUUGUCUAAGCGGGACUGGCUCAGNUAACACGUAGUUAACUUAACCUAUGGAUGGGCAUAACCUCGGGAAACUGAAANUAAUACCCAAUGGACCAAGCCUGAAUGGCUGUGGUUGAUGAUAUGCCGUAGUGAUGCGCUAUCCUUGUUGGUGAGUAAUGCCACCAGUAUCAGUACGGCUCUAAGAGGCCCGGAAUGUACUGAGACACCGGACCCAGCCCUAUGGGGCGCACAGCGAAACUUUGCAUGUGCAACCGACAGUUAAUCCGAGUGUCUCCUGCUAAGAUCUUUGUCAUUGUAGAAUCACUGGUGAAUAAGGGGUGGGCAAGUUCUGGGUUGGUCAGCCGCCGCGGUAAAACCAGCACCUCGAGUGGUCAGGAGGUUUAUUGGGGGCCCCUUUAAAAGCAUCCGUAAGCC
rnacentral:rRNA from 1 species